AACGAACGCUGGCGGCAGGCUUAACACAUGCAAGUCGAACGCCCCGCAAGGGGAGUGGCAGACGGGUGAGUAACGCGUGGGAACGUGCCCUUCGCUUCGGAAUAGCCCCGGGAAACUGGGAGUAAUACCGAAUACGCCGUAUUGGGAAAGAUUUAUCGGCGAAGGAUCGGCCCGCGUUGGAUUAGCUAGUUGGCGGUGUAAUGGACCACCAAGGCGACGAUCCAUAGCUGGUCUGAGAGGAUGAUCAGCCACACUGGGACUGAGACACGGCCCAGACUCCUACGGGAGGCAGCAGUGGGGAAUCUUGGACAAUGGGCGCAAGCCUGAUCCAGCCAUGCCGCGUGAGUGAAGAAGGCCUUAGGGUUGUAAAACUCUUUCGCCGGAGAAGAUAAUGACGGUAUCCGGAGAAGAAGCCCCGGCUAACUUCGUGCCAGCAGCCGCCGUAACAC
rnacentral:rRNA from 1 species